rnacentral:rRNA from 1 species
GUGAGUAACACGUGAGUAACCUGCCCUUGACUUUGGGAUGACUUCAGGAAACUGGGGCUAAUACCGGAUAGGAGCUCCUGCUGCAUGGUGGGGGUUGGAAAGUUUCGGCGGUUGGGGAUGGACUCGCGGCUUAUCAGCUUGUUGGUGGGGUAGUGGCUUACCAAGGCUUUGACGGGUAGCCGGCCUGAGAGGGUGACCGGCCACAUUGGGACUGAGAUACGGCCCAG